rnacentral:misc_RNA from 1 species
UCAGGAGCUCAGUUAUUGAGACCUGUUUCCAAAAUAUAUAGGUGUCAUUUAUAUUUUAUGAAUAUAAUCAUAUGUAACGAACUAUAUUCUUUCUUAAAAUCAAGUCCAUGUUUCAUUGUAUAGUUGCAAUUUAGAUAUUUCUGUUGAGAAUUAUUCACAACUAGACUUUCGACAUUUAUUGAUCUGUACACUCCGCACGCAAAAAGGCCCAGCGUUGUUUCCUGCAGUAAUGGAAUAUGUUAAUAAAAUUUAGUAAACCACUCACGAUUAUGAAAAUGAAAUGACUGCUCCCUCGCAAAAGGCGGAACCCGUUCGAAGGGCAUGUGCAUGUAUGAGUAAGAGUUUGCAUGUUAAACAGCUCGGACGUGUCAUUGGAUAGUUGAAUUUAACGCAGACAGAAAUUGUGUUUUGAAGUAUGCUCGGUUUUGGUGUCAAUCCUUCCGCUAACCGAUCGCCAUCUUGGAAGAAAUGGAUCAAGUUAAUAACACAAGGAGGAGCAAUCAUGGAGCUGAAAAGAGCGGCUAUCAUUCCGGACGUAGGGUCCAAGUCCACACACAGCAAAGGAUUCAAUCUUACAGAUGAAGAAGUGAUGGCAAUAAAUCAAUGUUUUCAAUGCGACCAGCCGCCGGAAACCCUGCGUGCCAGCGGAUGUACCUAUUGCUUGAAGAGCGCAUGUCCGGAACAGGUUAUCGCCUUCAAUGGCGGACGGUACCUGAUUGCCAGCAAGACA